GGUUCACGGUCACCUCGCUGCCCCCCGCGGGGCCCGCCAGAAGCCCUGACCCAGAGUCCCGCCGGCAUUCGGUCGCAGACCCCCGCCACCUCCCGGGGGAAGACGUCAAAGGAGCUAAUAAUCAGAGGCUGCUGAAGGGCAUGGAUAUGACUGCAUCCUUGUCUCUUCUGUGGAGGCAAGACCACUUUUAUAAGUUCUAUCAAUGAAGAGAGUCCUAAACUGGAGUAAAGCAAACUGGAUGCUAGACC
rnacentral:sRNA from 1 species